GUUCACUGCCCUAACGGGUAGACCUCCCACCCUUUGUUAUCAUUACCUUUGUUGCUUUGGCGGGCCGUUAGGCUCCGGCCUAGCUACCGGCCACCGCUGGUAAGCGCCCGCCAGAGGACCCUUAAACUCUGAAUGUAAAUGUCGUCUGAGUACUAUAUAAUAGUUAAAACUUUCAACAACGGAUCUCUUGGUUCUGGCAUCGAUGAAGAACGCAGCGAAAUGCGAUAAGUAAUGUGAAUUGCAGAAUUCAGUGAAUCAUCGAAUCUUUGAACGCACAUUGCGCCCCUUGGUAUUCCGAGGGGCAUGCCUGUUCGAGCGUCAUUACAACCCUCAAGCAAUGCUUGGUGUUGGGCCCUGCCGGUCACGGCUGGCUCUAAAAUCAGUGGCGGUGCCAUCUGGCUCUAAGCGUAGUAAUUUUCUCGCUAUAGGGUCCUGUGGACGCUUGCCAUUAACCCCAAAUUUUAUAUGGUUGACCUCGGAUCAGGUAGGGAUACCCGCUGAACUUAA
rnacentral:rRNA from 1 species